UACACUCCUGCGGGAGGCAGCAGUGGGGAAUUUUGGACAAUGGGCGAAAGCCUGAUCCAGCAAUGCCGCGUGAGUGAAGAAGGCCUUCGGGUUGUAAAGCUCUUUUGUCAGGGAAGAAACGGUGAGAGCUAAUAUCUCUUGCUAAUGACGGUACCUGAAGAAUAAGCACCGGCUAACUACGUGCCAGCAGCCGCGGUAAUACGUAGGGUGCAAGCGUUAAUCGGAAUUACUGGGCGUAAAGCGUGCGCAGGCGGUUUUGUAAGUCUGAUGUGAAAUCCCCGGGCUCAACCUGGGAAUUGCAUUGGAGACUGCAAGGCUAGAAUCUGGCAGAGGGGGGUAGAAUUCCACGUGUAGCAGUGAAAUGCGUAGAUAUGUGGAGGAACACCGAUGGCGAAGGCAGCCCCCUGGGUCAAGAUUGACGCUCAUGCACGAAAGCGUGGGGAGCAAACAGGAUUAGAAACCCUUGUAGUCCCA
rnacentral:rRNA from 1 species